rnacentral:rRNA from 1 species
ACGUAGGCAGCAAGCGUUGUUCGGAGUUACUGGGCGUAAAGAGUGCGUAGGCGGUCCGGCAAGUUCGGUGUGAAGUCUCCCGGCCUAACUGGGAGGGUGCGCCGAAGACUGUUGGGCUGGAGUAUGGGAGAGGCAGGCGGAAUUCCUGGUGUAGCGGUGAAAUGCGUAGAGAUCGGGAGGAACAUCUGUGGCGAAGGCGGCCACCUGGACCAGCACUGACACUGAGGCACGAAAGCGUGGGGAGCAAACAGGA